rnacentral:piRNA from 1 species
UACGUACUCCAGAUUUGUUUU